rnacentral:rRNA from 1 species
GCCCUUAGAGUUUGAUCCUGGCUCAGGACGAACGCUGGCGGCGCGCCUAACACAUGCAAGUCGAACGGAGCUUAGAGAGCUUGCUUUUUAAGCUUAGUGGCGAACGGGUGAGUAACGCGUGAGUAACCUGCCCUAGAGUGGGGGACAACAGUUGGAAACGACUGCUAAUACCGCAUAAGCCCACGGUACCGCAUGGUACUGAGGGAAAAGGAUUUAUUCGCUUUAGGAUGGACUCGCGUCCAAUUAGCUAGUUGGUGAGGUAACGGCCCACCAAGGCGACGAUUGGUAGCCGGACUGAGAGGUUGAACGGCCACAUUGGGACUGAGACACGGCCCAGACUCCUACGGGAGGCAGCAGUGGGGGAUAUUGCACAAUGGGGGAAACCCUGAUGCAGCGACGCCGCGUGGAGGAAGAAGGUUUUCGGAUUGUAAACUCCUGUCGUUAGGGACGAUAAUGACGGUACCUAACAAGAAAGCACCGGCUAACUACGUGCCAGCAGCCGCGGUAAAACGUAGGGUGCAAGCGUUGUCCGGAAUUACUGGGUGUAAAGGGAGCGCAGGCGGGAAGACAAGUUGGAAGUGAAAACCAUGGGCUCAACCCAUGAAUUGCUUUCAAAACUGUUUUUCUUGAGUAGUGCAGAGGUAGAUGGAAUUCCCGGUGUAGCGGUGGAAUGCGUAGAUAUCGGGAGGAACACCAGUGGCGAAGGCGGUCUACUGGGCACCAACUGACGCUGAGGCUCGAAAGCAUGGGUAGCAAACAGGAUUAGAUACCCUGGUAGUCCAUGCCGUAAACGAUGAUUACUAGGUGUUGGGGGAUUGACCCCCUCAGUGCCGCAGUUAACACAAUAAGUAAU